ACGAACGCUGGCGGCGUGCCUAAUACAUGCAAGUAGAACGCUGAAGAGAGGAGCUUGCUCUUCUUGGAUGAGUUGCGAACGGGUGAGUAACGCGUAGGUAACCUGCCUUGUAGCGGGGGAUAACUAUUGGAAACGAUAGCUAAUACCGCAUAACAAUGGAUGACACAUGUCAUUUAUUUGAAAGGGGCAAUUGCUCCACUACAAGAUGGACCUGCGUUGUAUUAGCUAGUAGGUGAGGUAAUGGCUCACCUAGGCGACGAUACAUAGCCGACCUGAGAGGGUGAUCGGCCACACUGGGACUGAGACACGGCCCAGACUCCUACGGGAGGCAGCAGUAGGGAAUCUUCGGCAAUGGGGGCAACCCUGACCGAGCAACGCCGCGUGAGUGAAGAAGGUUUUCGGAUCGUAAAGCUCUGUUGUAAGUCAAGAACGGGUGUGAGAGUGGAAAGUUCACACUGUGACGGUAGCUUACCAGAAAGGGACGGCUAACUACGUGCCAGCAGCCGCGGUAAUACGUAGGUCCCGAGCGUUGUCCGGAUUUAUUGGGCGUAAAGCGAGCGCAGGCGGUUUGAUAAGUCUGAAGUUAAAGGCUGUGGCUCAACCAUAGUUCGCUUUGGAAACUGUCAAACUUGAGUGCAGAAGGGGAGAGUGGAAUUCCAUGUGUAGCGGUGAAAUGCGUAGAUAUAUGGAGGAACACCGGUGGCGAAAGCGGCUCUCUGGUCUGUAACUGACGCUGAGGCUCGAAAGCGUGGGGAGCGAACAGGAUUAGAUACCCUGGUAGUCCACGCCGUAAACGAUGAGUGCUAGGUGUUGGAUCCUUUCCGGGAUUCAGUGCCGCAGCUAACGCAUUAAGCACUCCGCCUGGGGAGUACGACCGCAAGGUUGAAACUCAAAGGAAUUGACGGGGGCCCGCACAAGCGGUGGAGCAUGUGGUUUAAUUCGAAGCAACGCGAAGAACCUUACCAGGUCUUGACAUCCCGAUGCUAUUUCUAGAGAUAGAAAGUUACUUCGGUACAUCGGUGACAGGUGGUGCAUGGUUGUCGUCAGCUCGUGUCGUGAGAUGUUGGGUUAAGUCCCGCAACGAGCGCAACCCCUAUUGUUAGUUGCCAUCAUUCAGUUGGGCACUCUAGCGAGACUGCCGGUAAUAAACCGGAGGAAGGUGGGGAUGACGUCAAAUCAUCAUGCCCCUUAUGACCUGGGCUACACACGUGCUACAAUGGUUGGUACAACGAGUUGCGAGUCGGUGACGGCGAGCUAAUCUCUUAAAGCCAAUCUCAGUUCGGAUUGUAGGCUGCAACUCGCCUACAUGAAGUCGGAAUCGCUAGUAAUCGCGGAUCAGCACGCCGCGGUGAAUACGUUCCCGGGCCUUGUACACACCGCCCGUCACACCACGAGAGUUUGUAACACCCGAAGUCGGUGAGGUAACCUUUUGGAGCCAGCCGCCUAAGGUGGGAUAGAUGAUUGGGGUG
rnacentral:rRNA from 1 species